rnacentral:rRNA from 1 species
UACGUAGGGACCAAGCGUUGUUCGGAUUUACUGGGCGUAAAGGGCGCGUAGGCGGCAAUUCAAGUCAUCUGUGAAAUCUCCGGGCUUAACUCGGAAUGGUCAGGUGAUACUGCUUUGCUAGAGUGCAGAAGGGGCAAUCGGAAUUCUCGGUGUAGCGGUGAAAUGCGUAGAUAUCGAGAGGAACACCUGAGGUGAAGACGGGUUGCUGGGCUGACACUGACGCUGAUGCGCGAAAGCCAGGGUAGCAAACGGG